rnacentral:rRNA from 1 species
GACGAACGCUGGCGGCGUGCUUAACACAUGCAAGUCGAACGGAAAGGCCCUGCUUUUGUGGGGUGCUCGAGUUGCGAACGGGUGAGUAACACGUGAGUAACCUGCCCUUGACUUUGGGAUAACUUCAGGAAACUUGUGCUAAUACCGGAUAGGAUCUCCUGCUGCAUGGUGGGGGUUGGUAAGUUUCGGCGGUUGGGGAUGUACUCGCGGCUUAUCAGCUUGUUGGUGGGGUAGUGUCUUACCAAGGCUUUGACGGGUAGCCGGGCUGAGAGGGUGACCGGCCAAAUUGGGACUGAGAUACGGCACAGACUACUACGGGAGGCAGCAGUGGGGAAUAUUGCAAAAUGGGAGGAAGCAUGAUGCAGCAACGCCGCGUGCGGGAUGACGGCCUUCGGGUUGUAAACCGAUUUCGCCUGUGACGAAGCGUGAGUGACGGUAAUGGGUAAAGAAGCACCGGCUAACUACGUG